AGAGUUUGAUCAUGGCUCAGGAUGAACGCUGGCGGCGUGCCUAAAACAUGCAAGUCGUGCGGUAACAGGUCUAGUUUACUAGAUGCUGACGAGCGGCGGACGGCUGAGUAACGCGUGGGAAUCUGCCCCAAAGUGAGGGAUAACUGCCCGAAAGGGUGGCUAAUACCGCAUAUGGUCCAAGGAUUAAAGGAGUAAUCCGCUUUGGGAAGAGCCCGCGUAAGAUUAGAUAGUUGGUGAGGUAAUGGCUCACCAAGUCGACGAUCUUUAACUGGUUUGAGAGGAUGAUCAGUCAGACUGGAACUGAGACACGGUCCAGACUCCUACGGGAGGCAGCAGUUAGGAAUAUUCCACAAUGGGGGCAACCCUGAUGGAGCAACGCCGCGUGGAGGACGAAGGCCUUCGGGUCGUAAACUUCUUUUCUAUGCGAAGAAUAUGACGGUAACAUAGGAAUAAGGGUCUGCUAACUACGUGCCAGCAGCCGCGGUCAUACGUAGGACCCAAGCGUUAUCCGGAUUGACUGGACGUAAAGAGUUGCGUAGGUGGUUUGUCAAGCGAGCAGUGAAAUCUUGUAGCUCAACUAUAAGGCUAUUGUUCGAACUGGCAGACUCGAGAAUGGAAGAGGUAUCUGGAAUUCCCAGUGUAGGAGUGAAAUCCGUAGAUAUUGGGAGGAACACCAAUGGCGUAGGCAGGAUACUGGUCCAUUUCUGACACUGAUGCACGAAAGCGUGGGGAGCGAACGGGAUUAGAUACCCUAGUAGUCC
rnacentral:rRNA from 1 species